rnacentral:rRNA from 1 species
CCUUAGAAUGAAGUUAAUACUCCAUAGUAUUAUUGAUUGGCAUCAAUUAAUAAUUAAAGCUUCGGUGGUNAAAGAUGAGUAUGCGUUCUAUUAGCUAGAUGGUGUGGUAACGGCACACCAUGGCUACGAUAGAUAGGGGCCCUGAGAGGGGGAUCCCCNNCACUGGUACUGAGACACGGACCAGACUCCUACGGGAGGCAGCAGUGAGGAAUAUUGGACAAUGGAGGCAACUCUGAUCCAGCCAUGCCGCGUGCAGGAAGACUGCCCUAUGGGUUGUAAACUGCUUUUAUACAGGAAGAAAUCCGCUCUACGUGUAGAGCUCUGACGGUACUGUAAGAAUAAGGA